AGCAUACAAGGGACAGGUGUAAACAAAACUCAAGUCUGAGCUUCAUAUUGAUGAGCGGAUUCUGGUACAACCCUCAGGGAUUUGCCAUGAAGGUCCCCAAAACAUCAGAAAAAGCCGCUAGUCAAAUCUGGGAGAAGAAACUGUUAAGAUGGAAAGAUGCCAGGUUUAACAAGAAAGUAGCCAAGUUGACAACACUGAUUCUAUUGGAGAACAAAGAGUGCAGAUGUCAUAGCUGGGCUUCCAGUCUUCUCUGUUCCUUCUGACAACUUCUUCCUGUGGACAGUCCCCAGUGCAGCCUGGACCUGAUGUGCACACACAGUCGUAGCCUCCUGGUAGAUUC